rnacentral:misc_RNA from 1 species
GAUGAAGAACGUAGCGAAAUGCGAUAAGUAAUGUGAAUUGCAGAAUUCAGUGAAUCAUCGAAUCUUUGAACGCACAUUGCGCCCGCGAGUAUUCUCGCGGGCAUGCCUGUCCGAGCGUCAUUUCAACCCUCAGGGCCCGCCUGCUUCGGCAGGCGCGGCGCUGGUGUUGGGGAUCGGCCUAACCGCCGUCCCCCAAAUACAGUGGCGGUCUCGCUGCAGCCUCCCCUGCGUCGUAGCAACACUCGCAUGCGGAGCGCGGCGCGGCCACGCCGUAAAACCCCCGACUUUCUGAACGUUGACCUCGGAUCAGGUAGGAAUACCCGCUGAACUUAAGCAUAUCAAUAAGCGGAGGA